UAGGGAAUCUUCGGCAAUGGGGGCAACCCUGACCGAGCAACGCCGCGUGAGUGAAGAAGGUUUUCGGAUCGUAAAGCUCUGUUGUAAGAGAAGAACGUGUGUGAGAGUGGAAAGUUCACACAGUGACGGUAACUUACCAGAAAGGGACGGCUAACUACGUGCCAGCAGCCGCGGUAAUACGUAGGUCCCGAGCGUUGUUCGGUUGUAUUGGGGGUAAAGCGAGCGCAGGCGGUUUAAUAAGUCUGAAGUUAAAGGCAGUGGCUUAACCAUUGUUCGCUUUGGAAACUGUUGAACUUGAGUGCGGAAGGGGAGAGUGGAAUUCCAUGUGUAGCGGUGAAAUGCGUAGAUAUAUGGAGGAACACCGGUGGCGAAAGCGGCUCUCAGGUCUGUAACUGACGCUGAGGCUCGAAAGCGUGGGGAGCAAACAGG
rnacentral:rRNA from 1 species